rnacentral:rRNA from 1 species
AACGAACGCUGGCGGCAUGCCUAACAUAUGCAAGUCGAACGAGACCUUCGGGUCUAGUGGCGCACGGGUGCGUAACGCGUGGGAAUCUACCCUUGGGUUUGGAAUAACAGUUAGAAAUGACUGCUAAUACCGGAUGAUGACGUAAGUCCAAAGAUUUAUCGCCAAGGAUGAGCCCGCGUAAGAUUAGCUUGUUGGUGGGGUAUUGGCCUACCAAGGCGACGAACUUUAGCUGGUCUGAGAGGAUGAUGAGCCACACUGGGACGGAGACACGGCCCCGACUCCUACGGGAGGCAUCAGUGGGGAAUAUUGGACAAUGGGCGAAAGCCUGAUCCAGCAAUGCCGCGUGAGUGAUGAAGGCCUUAGGGUUGUAAAGCUCUUUUACCAGGGAUGAUAAUGACAGUACCUGGAGAAUAAGCUCCGGCUAACUCCGUGCCAGCAGCCGCAGUAA